AACUUCAAUCAUCUCUCGGAAAUCAUCAACAACUUUACCAUCAAUCUCUGUGACAGCAUUCAUAGCUUAGAUUCUGUCAGGUUGGUGGGAGGAUCCAGUCGCUGUGCAGGAACUCUAGAGAUGAAACGAGGAGAAUGGAGACCAUUAUAUGCCUCUAACUGGACCCUGAAGUCAGCAGUAGUAGCAUGCAGAGAGCUCGACUGUGGCUCUGCUGUUUCAACAGAAAUCAGAAAUGAGUCCUCAAUCAAAUCUGUGUGGCAGAAGAGUUCUGACUGUGUCCAGUCUGGAUCUGCUAUGAGGGAGUGUGUAUCAUCAGGUUCUUCUUUGUGUAUCCUGGGGAUUACCUGUUCAGACUCUGUCAGGCUGGUGGAUGGGACUAGUCUGUGCUCAGGCAGACUGGAGGUGAAGUCUGACCAGUCUAACCAGUGGUGGUC